AGAACGAACGCUGGCGGCAGGCCUAACACAUGCAAGUCGAGCGAAGUCUUCGGACUUAGCGGCGGACGGGUGAGUAACGCGUGGGAACAUACCCAAAGGUACGGAAUAGCCUCGGGAAACUGGGAGUAAUACCGUAUGUGCCCUUCGGGGGAAAGAUUUAUCGCCUUUGGAUUGGCCCGCGUUGGAUUAGGUAGUUGGUGGGGUAAUGGCCUACCAAGCCGACGAUCCAUAGCUGGUUUGAGAGGAUGAUCAGCCACACUGGGACUGAGACACGGCCCAGACUCCUACGGGAGGCAGCAGUGGGGAAUCUUAGACAAUGGGCGCAAGCCUGAUCUAGCCAUGCCGCGUGAUCGAUGAAGGCCUUAGGGUUGUAAAGAUCUUUCAGCUGGGAAGAUAAUGACGGUACCAGCAGAAGAAGCCCCGGCUAACUCCGUGCCAGCAGCCGCGGUAAUACGGAGGGGGCUAGCGUUGUUCGGAAUUACUGGGCGUAAAGCGCACGUAGGCGGAUCGGAAAGUCAGAGGUGAAAUCCCAGGGCUCAACCUUGGAACUGCCUUUGAAACUCCCGGUCUUGAGUUCGAGAGAGGUGAGUGGAAUUCCGAGUGUAGAGGUGAAAUUCGUAGAUAUUCGGAGGAACACCAGUGGCGAAGGCGGCUCACUGGCUCGAUACU
rnacentral:rRNA from 1 species